UGUGGCUCACGUCUGUACUCCCAGAGCCUUGGGAGGUCGAGGCGGGAAGAUCGCUUGAGCCCGGGAGCUCGAGACCAGACGCGGCAACAUGGCGAGACGCACAUCUCUGCCUUUAAAAAUGAGAGGCUGGCGGUUACCUUUCUUGGGGAGACGCGUCCGACUGCUUCAUUGUGGGGGCCUCAGGAGCGGAGGAUCGGGUCCCGCCCGAGGUGACGCGUAAACCCAGACUCUCAGCAACGCGGGUAGGAAGGACCCUUGAAGUUCCGCGGCGACCACGGAACUGUGCCUUCGAUCUCCACAGUCGGCUGAAACCAGCAGCCCAGGACAAGUGGACCAGCCAGCAAGACCCAGACCAUCCAAACCGGCUGAUCCUACGACAGGACCCAGAUGCCAGUGAAAGUGACCACAGCCCUGCUCUAGUCACCCCGGAAGCUGACCAGUCUACGCACGGCCGAAGCUUCGUCAAGGAAGUAAAUGUAGUUAGAAAUCUUAAGCCCAGUAAUUUUCCUUGUCAUCUUAAUUGUUUUACUAUUAACCUGUCGCUUUGCUCAACCCCCUCCUCUGGGCAAACAUCUCUUGUCCAUCCUAGGUACAAACAUGCUACUCUUCCCUUUGUUCUUGCUGCUCUCGCUAGAUCUAUGUCAGAAGGAGGGAUAUGCGGAGAGUUUAAUUUAACUAAUUGUUGCCUAAAAAUCGAUGACAAUGAGGAGGACGUC
rnacentral:lncRNA from 1 species